rnacentral:lncRNA from 1 species
UCCUGAUCAAGAUUUUGCUAAAUUGAAAUACACUGAUGCAUAUCUCCUACCAAUUCAGAGGGAUCAAUUCCAUCUUGACUCACACACCGACUUGAUAAGUACUUGACUGUACCUAGUAUCCUUCCAUCACUAAGUUAAAAAUUUAGAUAGUCUGAUAUUAAAGUACAGUGAGUUGCUUACAAAUCACCAUGGUGGUCUCA